GGUAGCAGCGUUCGGACGGGAUAAGCGCUGAAAGCAUCUAAGCGCGAAGCCCACCUCAAGAUGAGAUUUCCUAUAAGGGUCGUGGGAGACUACCACGUUGAUAGGCUGCAGGUGUAAGCACAGCGAUGUGUUCAGCCGAGCAGUACUAAUAGCCCGAAAGCUUUCUGUAG
rnacentral:rRNA from 1 species